AAUUUUCGGCAAUGGGGGAAACCCUGACCGAGCAACGCCGCGUGAUUGAUGAAGCUUCUAGGAGCGUAAAGAUCUUUUAUUAGGGAAGAAUAAAUGACGGUACCUAAUGAAUAAGCCCCGGCUAACUAUGUUCCAGCAGCCGCGGUAAUACAUAGGGGGCGAGCGUUAUCCGGAAUUAUUGGGCGUAAAGGAUGCGUAGGCGGCUAUUUAAGUCUUUGGUGUAAGUGCAGUGCUUAACGCUGUGAUGCUAAGGAAACUGGGUAGCUAGAGUGAGAUAGAGGCAAGUGGAAUUCCAUGUGUAGCGGUAAAAUGCGUAAAUAUAUGGAGGAACACCAGUGGCGAAGGCGGCUUGCUGGGUCUAUACUGACGCUGAUGCACGAAAGCGUGGGGAGCAAAC
rnacentral:rRNA from 1 species